UCUCCCCUUGGCUGUUCUUUAUUCUUUCAUUUCUUCCUCGCUCAUUUGCCCGCUUUGGCUUUCCUCUCUGUGGACAGCUUGGUUUUGCCACUGUGGAAAAAACGUAAAUUAAAUUGUGCAGUUUGGAAUCGGCAGGCUGGGUUCGCUCCGGCUGGUGGGUUGGUUUUUUGUUUUUUGUUUUUUUUUCCUUUAACAGUCAGGAACCCGGAGGUUUUAAGAGUAAGAAACUUUUAUAAAAAUCCAAGUAGGGAAGUUUUGGAGUCUCUGCCGGCUCUGUCUUCUACCACAAAGAGAAACAUUAUCGUCAUUAUUAUUAACUAUUAAUUAGUUAGAACGGUAGAUUGUUUAGCGGGCUUUGAGUGGUCCAGGUUUGGGUUUGCUCUUCGGUCCUGAUCAGGGAAUUUGUCUUUACUUUUUGAUAAAUGAGUAGAGGUCAGUAGUGCCUGUCCAAAUCAACCUCUGAAACUCGGAGGUGGGAUUUUUAUAGAAAUGCCCAUUUCCAAGGCAGUGGUUAUCAUUCCUGUUAUUUUAUGGUCCCUAAGGACGCUCAGAUGUUAAACUCACCACCUUGCCCUGUAAGGCAGGGCUCUCUGCAUGCUGAGGUUUGAUCCCUGGUCCUUUGCACUCUGCUAUAUCCCUACCACCACCUUCCUUUUAUUUUUAGGCAGGGGCUCCCCACGUUGCACAGACUGAGGGUUCGGACUUGCAAACCUCCUGCCUCAGCUUCCCAGAGUGCUGGGAAUUUCUCACCCAUCUCUUUAUGUUAAGUGAGCCAGGUUUAAAUGAGUCGCUAGAGCGAAGCCUAGAAAUUGCAUUCCUUCUGUAUCAAACAAGAUAAAAUGUAGCGAGGUUGGGCACAGGGUUUCCAAAAUCUUCCGGGUGAUUUUUCAGCUUCAGGAAGACCGGGUGCUUCUGCCUUUGCCUGCCCCACUCCUGUCACCCCGGAUGGACAAGUAGCCACCUUGCCUGUGGGCUGCAGCUGGGCGGCCACCACCUGUCCAGUGCUGAUGUCCCAUGGCCAUGUCUGCCCUCUUCGCCUGUGGCUUCCCUGUCUUUAUGAGGCCUCUGCCUUAAAUCCCACAGUUGGCACAGUGCCCCCAAAAGGAGCACAGAGGCAGGCAAGGGUCGCAGUGACACCCCACAGGGAUGUGGAAGAUGCCACUCCACAGUUGCCUGGGGUUGGAAGGUCUGUCUAGAUUGGUCCUGACCCAGUCGCAGUUCCCUGGGAAUCGGAAACUCUCCAUCCUGCCUCCUGGAGACCCUCUGGUUUGCAAGAAGAGGCCUGGCAAAACUAUGGAUCAGGUCCUCACAACUUUCCCUCCUGUGCUGAGCUCACUGUAGGAGGGCGCAGAGAAGCCAGGUGAGGCCAGAGCCCAGGACAGGCCCAGGACAGGCCGCUCAGAGGAGACUCGCCCGCCUGUCCUUAGAGUGUGCCCACCUCCACUGGGCUGUUGUGGUCAGCGUUUGUAAGGGAAUAGAUUUAAUACAGGACACAUAAUUUAUAGGAUUAUUUAAUAAUAGUCACCCAAAAAGUCAAAUGCAGAAGAGUAUAAGAUCUAACCACACUAGAGAGCGACAGAAUCCCGCCACGGGCCUGGAUCGCACAGCACUGUCCCGCAGAAGUCCAGCUGAAGGCGCACAGCCCAUGGCAAUGCCUCACGCUUGUCCAUAUCGAGGAUCUGCACCCAGAAAUCCCAAAGGCCUGGGGUGGAAGCCAGAAAACCUGCACCAGUGGGGUGAAGGAUUUGUGCCACCAGGCUGAGGGAUCUGCCCUGGAGCCAGGAAGCGAUGCUCAUGGUGAAGAUCAGGGCUCCCCUGAGGAGAACAGCAGUCAUUCCCAGUGACAGCAAGGCCUGAGCUCCUCCUCCAUUGAGAACAGCCAAGUUCGCAUCAGGAAAACCAGCGGCAGCAAGCUUCUCCUAGAAAUCAGCAGUCCACGCUCUUCCCCUCCAGGUCUCUUCCUAUGCCAUUAGCAACAAUCCUCAGGUGGGUCUUCCAUGCCCAGAACCACACUGAUCUAGUUCAGCUGGCCUUCCAAACUGGCCAUUAGUUAACCCACCACACAGCUCUACUCGGUAUUCAUUCAUCCCAAUGAAUCCUGGGAUCGAUUACUAGAGGCGCCAUCAAGGGAGGGUGGCUUAAUGGAAAAUGAGACCUGGAAGGUGGGGAAGCAGGUUCACAUUGGAGGAAGAAGCAAGACAAGGUGUUCUGGGAUGGGAGGGACGUAAGAGGAUUCAUCUGGGAGAGAAGCAGGAGCUCUGAGGACGCUGAGAUGCAUGCAGAAGGAUGCCACAGAACCACCUGCUGGCACUGAGAGUGACAGUCUGUCGUGAUUUGAGAGUACAGAGAGAUGAUGGGAAAGGAGAUGUGGAACGAAGUUAGGAUGUGUGAAGAAGUGGCAGAGGGGCUUACGGGGACUGGAAGCAGGUACGGGAGAAGUCUUUGCCUUUACAGCACCGUGGACCUCCUAGGGCUGCAGAGCCCAGCUGGCUUUAGUAGCAGCCAUGCAGGAACAAGUUUGGCUGCCAUUGCACCUGGCCCUCAGAGACAGGGAGAGAGGGCCAGAGGGCCUCUGGGAACCGCGACCCCAGAAGAUGCAGCUCCUCACUGUGUCCUGUCCCCGAGGCCCAUACCCAGACACCUCCCACACGCCUUCAUUCUGCACACACCUGACACAGCCAUGUCGCACUGGAGCUCUGGCCUGGGCCGGUGAUGGAGGCCCUGUCAGACCUCCCUCUACAGGUGGCAAGGAGGAAAAGCCACUGCUGCCCGAAAUUAGAUUCAGCCGGGUUUUGUGGCUCAGGCAGAAGGCUGACCGUUAGCUCAGCCUCACGAGUGGAGGAGCCACCAUCACUGGCGCUCAGAUGGGUUUUAUGGAUGUGCACAGAGCCAGCCGGCUGCUAAGGGAGCCACUAAUUAAAGUUCUGCUUUGGAGCGAGCUCUGUGUGGUCAGGGCAACCAACCAUUCCCGCUUAGCCUUUGAUACACAGCUGGGGCCGAGAGUUAGUGUUCCCUGGCUGGCCUGCCGCACAGGCUGCCUGAUUACAACACACCUGGGGGACUCAUCCCUUCCACCAGGGCGUCAGAAGUCAGCAGCAGCUGUUCACAGCGUCAGAUGGAUGACUCGCAGGUAUUCUUCUGCAAUCAUGCGUGAAAGCUUGCUUCUUGAAGGUGGCUUCCAGGGAUCCAUUCUCAAUAUACUACAAAGUCAGCCACAGUACAAACACAGUGGCACGGCAGACCACAUCCAUGAUGGUGGGCAGAGAAGUCUGGGAAGCUAUCGUUAUGAAGCAGCAUGGCCCAGAGUUCAUUGGUCUAGGAAGUGCAAUAAGAAGAUUGCUUGGAAUUUACAGGGCUAUGGAGAGCACAUUACAGUGCUCUUGUAGGAAAAGCCUAGGGGUGAGGGGAGAGAGAGAGAGACUGGAGUUCCACUAUUAAUGAAUGAAGAGUCCUGUGUGGCUUCUUUCCAGGUUUUUGGUGUCCCGAACAAAGAACUGGACAACACACACACAAAAGGCAGUGAAAGUGCACAUAAGCAAGGCAGAAGAGAAAUAACUGCAGAAUGAGGAUGCUCCAGUAAAAGGCUCACGGGGCCUGAGGAUAAGGGAAAGGGAUCUUUUGUAUGCAAAUUCCCAGGUUACCUCUCUUUCAUGCAAAUGAGGCAUUGGCAAGGUCCCCCCUGGCAACCCCUCCCUUGGUGUCAGCCACACAUCAACUGUCCCAUCAUUUGGCUUCCUGCCUUAUAUAAAUGAAGGACCAGGAUUAUUGUCUUUUGAUUGGCUGUGGCCACAUGCAAAUAAAAGAUUGA